rnacentral:rRNA from 1 species
UAAGCGGAGGAAAAGAAACCAACAGGGAUUGCCUCAGUAGCGGCGAGUGAAGCGGCAAAAGCUCAAAUUUGAAAUCUGGCGUCUUUGGCGUCCGAGUUGUAAUUUGAAGAAGGUAUCUUUGGGCCCGGCUCUUGUCUAUGUUCCUUGGAACAGGACGUCACAGAGGGUGAGAAUCCCGUGCGAUGAGAUGACCCGGGUCUGUGUAAAGUUCCUUCGACGAGUCGAGUUGUUUGGGAAUGCAGCUCUAAGUGGGUGGUAAAUUCCAUCUAAAGCUAAAUAUUGGCGAGAGACCGAUAGCGAACAAGUACAGUGAUGGAAAGAUGAAAAGAACUUUGAAAAGAGAGUGAAAAAGUACGUGAAAUUGUUGAAAGGGAAGGGCUUGAGAUCAGACUUGGUAUUUUGCAUGCUGCUCUCUCGGGGGCGGCCGCUGCGGUUUACCGGGCCAGCAUCGGUUUGGAGCGGCAGGAUAAUGGCGGAGGAAUGUGGCACGGCUUCUGCUGUGUGUUAUAGCCUCUGACGAUGCUGCCAGCCUAGACCGAGGACUGCGGUUUUUAACCUAGGAUGUUGGCAUAAUGAUCUUAAGUCGCCCGUCUUG